AUCUAAGUACCCCGAGGAAAAGAAAUCAACCGAGAUUCCCCCAGUAGCGGCGAGCGAACGGGGAGGAGCCCAGAGCCUGAAUCAGCAUGUGUGUUAGUGGAAGCGUCUGGAAAGGCGCGCGAUACAGGGUGACAGCCCCGUACACAAAAGCGCAUGUGCUGUGAGCUCGAUGAGUAGGGCGGGACACGUGGUAUCCUGUCUGAAUAUGGGGGGACCAUCCUCCAAGGCUAAAUACUCCUGACUGACCGAUAGUGAACCAGUACCGUGAGGGAAAGGCGAAAAGAACCCCGGCGAGGGGAGUGAAAAAGAACCUGAAACCGUGUACGUACAAGCAGUGGGAGCACCCUUUGGGGUGUGACUGCGUACCUUUUGUAUAAUGGGUCAGCGACUUAUAUUCUGUAGCAAGGUUAACCGAAUAGGGGAGCCGGAGGGAAACCGAGUCUUAACCGGGCGUUAAGUUGCAGGGUAUAGACCCGAAACCCGGUGAUCUAGCCAUGGGCAGGUUGAAGGUUGGGUAACACUAACUGGAGGACCGAACCGACUAAUGUUGAAAAAUUAGCGGAUGACCUGUGGCUGGGGGUGAAAGGCCAAUCAAACCGGGAGAUAGCUGGUUCUCCCCGAAAGCUAUUUAGGUAGCGCCUCGUGAAUUCAUCUCCGGGGGUAGAGCACUGUUUCGGCUAGGGGGCCAUCCCGGCUUACCAACCCGAUGCAAACUGCGAAUACCGGAGAAUGUUAUCACGGGAGACACACGGCGGGUGCUAACGUCCGUCGUGAAGAGGGAAACAACCCAGACCGCCAGCUAAGGUCCCAAAGUCAUGGUUAAGUGGGAAACGAUGUGGGAAGGCCCAGACAGCCAGGAUGUUGGCUUAGAAGCAGCCAUCAUUUAAAGAAAGCGUAAUAGCUCACUGGUCGAGUCGGCCUGCGCGGAAGAUGUAACGGGGCUAAACCAUGCACCGAAGCUGCGGCAGCGACACUGUGUGUUGUUGGGUAGGGGAGCGUUCUGUAAGCCUGUGAAGGUGGCCUGUGAGGGUUGCUGGAGGUAUCAGAAGUGCGAAUGCUGACAUAAGUAACGAUAAAGCGGGUGAAAAGCCCGCUCGCCGGAAGACCAAGGGUUCCUGUCCAACGUUAAUCGGGGCAGGGUGAGUCGACCCCUAAGGCGAGGCCGAAAGGCGUAGUCGAUGGGAAACGGGUUAAUAUUCCCGUACUUGGUGUUACUGCGAAGGGGGGACGGAGAAGGCUAUGUUGGCCGGGCGACGGUUGUCCCGGUUUAAGCGUGUAGGUGUGUGUUCCAGGUAAAUCCGGUUCACUUUAACACUGAGGCGUGACGACGAGGCACUACGGUGCUGAAGCAACAAAUGCCCUGCUUCCAGGAAAAGCCUCUAAGCAUCAGGUAACAUCAAAUCGUACCCCAAACCGACACAGGUGGUCAGGUAGAGAAUACCAAGGCGCUUGAGAGAACUCGGGUGAAGGAACUAGGCAAAAUGGUGCCGUAACUUCGGGAGAAGGCACGCUGACACGUAGGUGAAGUGAUUUACUCAUGGAGCUGAAGUCAGUCGAAGAUACCAGCUGGCUGCAACUGUUUAUUAAAAACACAGCACUGUGCAAACACGAAAGUGGACGUAUACGGUGUGACGCCUGCCCGGUGCCGGAAGGUUAAUUGAUGGGGUCAGCGCAAGCGAAGCUCCUGAUCGAAGCCCCGGUAAACGGCGGCCGUAACUAUAACGGUCCUAAGGUAGCGAAAUUCCUUGUCGGGUAAGUUCCGACCUGCACGAAUGGCGUAAUGAUGGCCAGGCUGUCUCCACCCGAGACUCAGUGAAAUUGAACUCGCUGUGAAGAUGCAGUGUACCCGCGGCAAGACGGAAAGACCCCGUGAACCUUUACUAUAGCUUGACACUGAACAUUGAGCCUUGAUGUGUAG
rnacentral:rRNA from 1 species